rnacentral:rRNA from 1 species
AACGAACGCUGGCGGCAUGCCUAACACAUGCAAGUCGAACGAGACCUUCGGGUCUAGUGGCGCACGGGUGCGUAACGCGUGGGAACCUGCCCUUAGGUUCGGAAUAACUCCCCGAAAGGGGUGCUAAUACCGGAUAAUGUCUUCGGACCAAAGAUUUAUCGCCUUUGGAUGGGCCCGCGUUGGAUUAGCUAGUUGGUAGGGUAAAAGCCUACCAAGGCGACGAUCCAUAGCUGGUCUGAGAGGAUGAUCAGCCCCCCUGGGACUGAGACACGGCCCAGACUCCUACGGGAGGCAGCAGUGGGGAAUAUUGGACACUGGGCGAAAGCCUGAUCCAGCAAGGCCGCGUGAGUGAUGAAGGCCUUAGGGUUGUAAAGCUCUUUUACCCGGGAUGAUAAUGACAGUACCGGGAGAAUAAGCUCCGGCUAACUCCGUG